GGAGAGGUGACCGAGCUGGCCGAAGGUGCACGACUGGAAAUCGUGUGUGGGGUUAAACGCCUCACCCAGGGUUCGAAUCCCUGCCUCUCCG
rnacentral:tRNA from 1 species